rfam:Candidatus Sungbacteria bacterium RIFCSPLOWO2_01_FTLL_47_10 rifcsplowo2_01_scaffold_23902, whole genome shotgun sequence.
CGCGGGGUGGAGGAGCAGUACCUCGCGGGGCUCAUAACCCCGAGGCGUCAGUGCAAUUCUGGCCCCCGCAA